UGGCCGAAAGAGUUAUAAUGAAAAUAUAUUCUCUAGGACUAAACUAACAGGCGCCACCAGGACAGCCCAGGCGGGAGGCCUUCGUGGCACUAGAUGGCUCCGAGAGCCCCCUACAGGCGGGAGGACCUGAAAGGAAAGUACUUCCGCUCAGAUGGGCGGGGCUAGGGAGGUGGGGCGGAAGUGACUAUGACUCUCCGGGGCUGGCAAAGGCGGGUUUCGCUAAUUGGUUGGGGUGUAGUGGACUUUUCCGGUUUUUGGAAAAGUGAUUUUAAUAAAGGCUCGGGAACUCUGUUCUUUCACCAUGCACAGAGGAUAUCGUUUAAAACAUAUUGUUUUGGGAGUCUCGUUUUCUUGCUAGAAAUAGAGGUUUCUCUUGGAGUUUUAGCUUGGUGCCAUAGCUACAGCAUCUGACUAGGGCGCACUCUGGAGCAAAGAGAUGGUGAUUGCAGCCAUGAAAUUAAAAGACACUUGCUCCUUGGAAGGAAAGUUAUGACCAACCUAGACAACAUGUUAAAAAGCAGAGACAUUGCUUUGUCAACAAAGGUCCAUCUGGUGAAGGUUGUGGUUUUUCUUGUGGUCAUGUAUGGAUGUGAGAGUUGGACUGUGAAGAAAGCUGAGUGCCGAAGAAUUGAUGCUUUUGAACUGUGGUGUUGGAGAAGACUCUUGAGAGUCCCUUGGACUGCAAGAAGAUCCAACUAGUUCAUUCUAAAGGAGAUCAGUCCUGGGUGUUCAUUGGAAGGACUGAUGUUGAAGCUGAAACUCCAAUACUUUGGCCACCUGAUGUGAAGAGAUGACUCAUUGGAAAAGACCCUGAUGCUGGGAAAGAUUGAGGGCAGGAGGAGAAGGGGAUGACAGAGGAUGAGAUGGUUGGAUGGCAUCACCGACUCAAUGGACAUGAGUUUGGGUAAACUCUGGGAAUUGGUGAUGGACAGGGAGGCCUGGUGUGCUGCGGUUCAUGGGGUUGCAAAGAGUUGGAAACAACUGAGCCACUGAACUGAACUGAACUGAACUGAACUGAAAAGGAUUAAGUGAGAAAGCUUUAGGUGCCUGAUAAACAGAACUCAGUAAAUAUUGGUUAUUGAAAAUAACCAAUUAUUGAAAAUAAUUGAAAAUUAUUGUUCAGUUAAAGGCUCAUAGGUAAUAGAUGCUAAAGAAUCUACUUGCAAUGCAGAUAGAUCCCUGGGUUGGGAAGAUCCCCUGGAGAAGGGAAUGACUACCCAUUUCCCUCUCCAGUAUUUUUGCCUGGAGAAUUCCAUGGACAGAAGAUCCUGGUGGGCUACAGUCCAUAGGGCUGCAAAGAGUAGGACAUGACUAAGAGACUAACACUUUCCCUUUUCAGGUAAUGGAAGCUAGGGGUGGUGAAUAACAUGUAGUUAAGGUACCAAAAAGUUAACCAACUCUAGUUAGUAAAGUUUUUCUGGGAGAAUCUUAUGUCAACAGAAAGAUGACAUAAGUCUAGGAUAACAGUACACAAAAUAUAAGGAUAAACCUGGCAAUGACCAGAGGAGAGGCUAUUUGUGUUCAAGGACUAUAACUAAUUUUUCAAAGAGAAACAUUCCUAGAAUAGGGAAGCAAUUUCCACUAUCCUAUUUUGAAAGAAAAGUCCAUCAAUAGGACCCAUUCUCUUUCUUCUAAUUGUCAUAAACCCUUGAGCAAGGGUUUGGACUGCAGGGAUCUACUUAUACAUAUUUUUUUCCAAUAAAUACACACACUAUUACAUAACCCAGGUUGGUUGAACCCCUGGAUGUGGAACUGCAGAUUGGGAAGACCAACUGUUGAACCUGAGCAUCCAUUGAUUUUAGUAUCUGCAUAGAGUUCAGGAACCAAUACCCCAAGGAAACCAAGGAUCAACUGUAUAUGCUCAUCAAACAACUCUCUAAUUGAUCAUUUCCUCUCCUGAGUCCACUUAACCUACUAUGGUGAAAUACCCAGAGUGAAUUGUCCAUACAAGUUCUUUCUAGAUUUAGCUUUUUAUAUAUUGAUAAAUGACAUUCUGAGGGGCAUGCUAAUUUCUUAUGAGUAUUCUUAACAUGUUGAUGCCCAAAAGUUUAAUUUGUUCUAAGUAAGUAAGUGAAAGUCACUCAGUCAUGUCCAACUCUUUGCUACCCCAAGGACUAUAUAGUCCAUAGAAUUCUCCAGGCCAGAAUACUGGAGUGGGUAGUCUCUCCCUUCUCCAGGGGAUCUUCCCAACCCAGGGAUCAAACCCAGGUCUUCCACAUUGCAGGUGGAUUCUUUACCAGCUGAGCCACAAGGGAAGCCCUAAUUUGUUCCGGUGGAAAUGAUAAACUUGAGUCUCCAAACCUACAAAACUAAAAAUCUGGCUUUGAAUAUUGCAUUAGAGUCCUGUAUGCUUGCAAGUAACAAAAAUAAAAAUAAAAUGGCUUAAAUAACAAAAAAAAAGGAGGGAGUUAAUGUUAUAAAGAGAAGGUAUUUGAUGGGAUAGGAAGGCAAGAAUACAGCACAGAUUCAGAAAGAAACUAAAGGAAGUCAUCUUACAUCUAAGCAGCAUGCUUUCUCCUCUCUUGCUGCUGACUCUGCUUACACAUAAUUUUCUAUUUGUAGACCUCUUUCCCCUGCUAUUUAGUUCGCAGGACAGACAGAAGCAGUUACCAUCAUUAGACCUGAGCAAUAAGGACCAUUAAUCAAGCCCUGCUUCUCUGGGGGACAGGUGUGGGAGACACUUUGGAGAGCCUCCAAAUGUUCCAAGUCCUCUGUGGUGUCUGGGACCAUUGGGCAGAGUCUGAGAAGCAGAACC